rnacentral:rRNA from 1 species
CACGUAGGAUCCAAGCGUUAUCCGGAUUUACUGGGCGUAAAGCGCGUGCAGGUGGUUUGGAAAGUUGGGUGUUAAAGCUCUCGGCUCAACCGGGAGUUGUCGCUCAAAACUAGCAGACUAGAGGAUGGUAGAGGGAGGUGGAAUUCCGGGUGUAGUGGUGAAAUGCGUAGAUAUCCGGAGGAACACCAGUGGCGAAGGCG